CCUCUUCUUCUUCUUCUCCUCUUCUUCUUCUCUUCUUCUUCUUCUUCUUCUUCUCUUUUUUUUGUCUUCUUCUUUGUGGAAGAUCCACGCGUCGCCCCUCCUCGAUUUUUCCUCCCUUCCGCUAACCAUCUCUCUCCUUCUCUCACGCACGCCGGGAACGACGUUUCGUCAACGACAUGUCCGAAAUCCCUCUCUUUCUCUCCUUCAGCCGACGCCACCACCCAACACCCCUUGCAUCGCUGAACUCACUGGAGACCAAGGCCAAGGAAGAUUUCAUGGCUAUGGGCUGAAGCUUUGAGAAAAAGAGAAUGAAAAAUGAAAUAGAAGAGGAAGGGUUGGAUGUGUUCAACCAGGAGAAUGCUAUCGUCUAUACAUAGGUUUAUUGCUACUUUCAAUAUUUAUUUCUUAAUGGUUUUGAUUUAACCUUUUAUAUAAGAACAAUCUUCACUGGUGCAACAAAUUGUUUCCUUCAGCUUCAUUUAUUUUAAAUCAAACUAUCAUCAUGUAAAUUGUUCUGGUUGUAGGAAUUUAGUUACAAUCAAACGAUCAUCAUGUAAUUUUUUUUCUUUCUUUCUCUGUUUUGUUCAUAUUCUUGGGAUAGUGUAUUUCGAUUUUGUUUGUGUAUUUGGUACAUUGUGUUAUGGUAUAUCGACUGAAGACAUGUUCUAUGUGUGCCAUUUUCAUUGCUUUUUGAUGGUGUUGGAAGGGGACUGGAAUGAAGGGUUAGGAGGAGAGGGUUGAAAAUGUUAUCAUAGAAGUAGCUCAAUACUGUUUUUUUCAAACUUAAAUCAACGGUUUGGAAGAAUCCAUUUGAAGCAUUGAAGCCAAUUUGGAGCAACUGAUUCAUAUAACAUCUUUUGUAUGGUUGGUAGCCAACUCUUGCUUCCAACGUAUUGAGUUUAGGCUUCUUGCUUCCAUUGUCAAUGUAUAUUUUUUUUCUAUGGAAACUACAUUUGAACUAAACAAAUGAUUAUUAGUCAAUGGGUGUAUGAAUACUUCAAAGUGUAUCUUUAUAAAGUGUUGACUUAUUGUUUU